GGGGUCGUGGCUCAGUGGUAGAGCAUCUGCCUAGCAUGCACAAGGUCCCAGGUUCAAUCCCUGGUAUUUCCA